AUUGAACGCUGGCGGCAUGCCUUACACAUGCAAGUCGAACGGUAACAGGUCUUCGGAUGCUGACGAGUGGCGAACGGGUGAGUAAUACAUCGGAACGUGCCCGAGAGUGGGGGAUAACGAGGCGAAAGCUUUGCUAAUACCGCAUACGAUCUCAGGAUGAAAGCAGGGGACCGCAAGGCCUUGCGCUCACGGAGCGGCCGAUGGCAGAUGAGGUAGUUGGUGGGAUAAAAGCUUACCAAGCCGGAGAUCUGUAGCUGGUCGGAGAGGACGACCAGCCACACGGGGACUGAGACACGGCCCAGACUCCUACGGGAGGCAGCAGUGGGGAAUUUUGGACAAUGGGCGCAAGCCUGAUCCAGCAAUGCCGCGUGCAGGAUGAAGGCCUUCGGGUUGUAAACUGCUUUUGUACGGAACGAAAAGCCCUGGGUUAAUACCCUGGGGUCAUGACGGUACCGUAAGAAUAAGCACCGGCUAACUACGUGCCAGCCGCCGCGGUAACAC
rnacentral:rRNA from 1 species